rnacentral:rRNA from 1 species
CCUACGGGGGGCAGCAGUGAGGAAUCUUGGUCAAUGGACGAGAGUCUGAACCAGCCAAGUAGCGUGAAGGAUGACUGCCCUAUGGGUUGUAAACUUCUUUUAUAAAGGAAUAAAACGAGGCACGUGUGCCUUUUUGCAUGUACUUUAUGAAUAAGGAUCGGCUAACUCCGUGCCAGCAGCCGCGGUAAUACGGAGGAUCCGAGCGUUAUCCGGAUUUAUUGGGUUUAAAGGGAGCGUAGAUGGGUUGUUAAGUCAGUUGUGAAAGUUUGCGGCUCAACCGUAAAAUUGCAAUUGAUACUGGAAGUCUUGAGUACAGUUGAGGUAGGCGGAAUUCGAGGUGUAGCGGUGAAAUGCUUAGAGAUAACGAAGAACCCCGAUUGCGAAGGCAGCUUACUAAACUGUGACUGACAUUGAUGCUCGAAAGUGUGGGUAUCAAACAGGAUUAGAUACCCUUGUAGUC